rnacentral:rRNA from 9 species
CAGGUCUGUGAUGCCCUUAGAUGUCCUGGGCCGCACGCGCGCUACAAUGAUGCAGACAGAGAGUGCUGCUCCUUGUCCGAAAGGAUUGGGGAAUCUUAGAAACUGCAUCGUGAUAGGGAUAGAUGAUUGCAAUUGUUCAUCUUGAACGAGGAAUGCCUUGUAAGCGCGAGUCAUCAACUCGCGCUGAAUACGUCCCUGCCCUUUGUACACAC